rnacentral:rRNA from 1 species
UACGGGGGGGGCAAGCGUUGUUCGGAAUUACUGGGCGUAAAGGGUUUGUAGGUGGCUUGCUAAGUCAGACGUGAAAUCCCUCAGCUUAACUGGGGAACUGCGUCUGAGACUGGUGAGCUUGAGUGCAGGAGAGGAACGCGGAAUUCCAGGUGUAGCGGUGAAAUGCGUAGAUAUCUGGAGGAACACCGGUGGCGAAGGCGGCGUACUGGACUGCAACUGACACUGAGGAACGAAAGCCAGGGGAGCAAACGGG